UUAUUGUAUAAUAGGUACUUUUGUUAAAACAUAUUCUUGUUGUUAUCACGCCAAGUGAUUUGAGAUCUUCAAAUGUUAAAUAAAUGAUUGACGAUGUUAAAGAAUAGCUAAAUAGUUAGAUUAUUAAGUUACUCCUCAAAGUUUUAGACACGAAAAAAGUUCAUGGUCACGCCCCGUGGCUAUGUUUGUAUUAAAAUUAGCUUAAAAUUUCUGCAAAAUCCUUACAGCAAGUUUCUUGAUAUGGUAUUUUAGAGCAAUCAAAUUGUCAAGAAGCCAGACCGGUUCAAAACUAAACCACUCAGUAAUGUUUUUCCGGUACAAGAAUAAACUGGAAUCCAGAUUGUUCCUAAGGAAUUUUUAUCUAUGCUAAUGAUACAACUUUAAAAAUUUUUAUCGACUGUUUUAAAACUGGUAUCGAUUAUGUAAUACUUUGAGGUGAGAAAUGUUCUUUUAAUAUGUUUACUAUUUAAGUUUUAUUGAUAUAAAUAAUAAAAUUCACUCUUGGUAAUGUGAUUUUUAAAAUUAUAUUGUGAUGUAGAUACUAGAUACUGCACUAUUUGGAUUAUAUGCAACGUUAUUAUGUAAGUGCAGUACCGCUUUUUCACAAGAAAGUGUAGUUACGUGAAAUUGGAGAUUGUGGAUGUAUUUCGAUGUAGAUCAAACAGAGAAAUUGUAAUCGUCAAAAAUUAAUCUUAUUUGAUUAUUAUGUUUAUCAUUCGAUUGUCCGAAUUACUGUACGACUCGUGAUGUAGUCACUUUGGUUUGUUGAUAUUAAUAUUUAAGUAAUUGUAAUCUCUUGAGACUGAUACUGUGACGGUUAGUGAUCAAAUAAUUAAGCUGUAAUUAAACGUAGUACGAGCCGAAUAUUGAAUUAUUGCAAUAAAGUGUUUAUUCUUCA